GAUGAACGCUGGCGGCGUGCCUAAUACAUGCAAGUCGAGCGAACAGACGAUGAGUUUGUUCCUUUGUCGUUUGCGGCAGACGGGUGAGAAACACGUGUAAAACCUCCUUAUAAGACUGGGAAAAUUUCGGGACACCGGAGAUAAUACCGGAUAAUAUCUUGAACCGCAUGGUUGAUUAGUAAAAGUCGGCUUUGCUGUCAGGUAUAGAUGCAUAUGCGCUGCAUUAGCUAGUAGGUAAGGUAAAGGCCUUUCAAGGCAACUAUGCGUAACCGAGCGGGGAGAGGGGUAGGCCACACUGGAACUUAGACACGGUCCUGAGUCCUACGGGAGGCAGCAGUAUCGAAUGGUCCGCAGUGGGCGAGAACUUGGCGGAACAACGCGGCGUGAGUGGUGGAAGUCUUCGGAUCGUGAAACUCUGUUAUGAGGUGAGAACAACUGUCGAAGGAACUAUGCACGUCUUGACGGUACCGAGUCAGAAAGCCACGGCUAACUACGUG
rnacentral:rRNA from 1 species